rnacentral:lncRNA from 1 species
CGCGACUCAGUUUUACAUUCUCCCAAAAUCCGAGUGUCACUGAGUACAUGAGCAUUUACAAUAACAUGGUUUAACUAGUGAAACACUAUCUAGGAAGGUAGAACAGUAUAAAUCAAACUUAAAGAUAAAGGCGGAGAGUAUAGGUCGGCGGAUGCCAAAGCAACUACAUCGAGAAUCUCUGAACUGAUAAAGGUCCAAAAUCAGUAACCACCGUACCCGGAAGUACCUGGACCUGCACACGAAGUGCAGAGUAUAGUAUGAGUACAAAUGACCCAAUGUACUCAAUAAGUAACAAGACUAACCUUGGGCUGAAAGCAGUGAUGAGCUCAACAAGUACGGUUAAAAUACAGAGUUUAACAGUACAGAAAUGUAAACAUGCUUUCAAGUUCAACAGUUAAGCUCAAAACGUAUAUAAUAUGCCAAGUGUGACUAGAAUGAGGAACGGUACUUCUCCAUAUCCACAUUUCAAUUAUGCAUGCCAAGUGCAGUGCAACACAGUGAUAAAAUCAUAGGCAUACUCUCGGAGUAUUAAUUCACUCAGUCCUCCCAUUCCCUGAAUCCUCACAGUCACUCAUUCCUCCCAAUCGCUCGGCACUCACACUUGGCACUCGCACUCGCACUUAUUAGGUACCUGUGCUCACUGCCGAUGAGUCAGACUCCAGAGGGGCGGAUCAUGCCCAAGCGCUAUAAUAAGCCAAUCAUGACAUGAAUCAAUACAGCUUGCUGUGGCACGCAACUCGAUCCCAUAAACAUCCUCACAAUCAGGCUCUCGGCCUCACUCAGUCAUCAAUCUCUCGAGUCUCUCGGGCUCACAAGUAUCAAGAUAUGAUGCAUUAAUAAACGACAUCAGAGACUGAGAUAUGAUAUACAAAUGAUAGCUAUGACUGAGAACAUAAUUGCAAAUUAAGCAAAUAAUUCAACAACAACACGACCUCUGUGGGUCCGAACAAUACCAGCAUAUAGCCUAAGCAUGACUUCUAACAUGAAUCACAGCUCAAUUUCUUUAACACAUGGGGAAUACGUGGAAAAUAACAAAUUAUAUGACUACACAGUUCCACGGAAUCGACCAAAUCACAAUUCUUAUGCUGCACGCCUACAUGCCUAUCACCUAGCAUGUGCGUCACUUCGACACCAAUCACAUAACACAUAAUUCAGGGAUUCAUACCCUCAGAACUAAGUUUAGAAGUGUUACUUACCUCAAGCCGUGUAAAUCUCUACUCCAAUAAGCCCUUUCCUCGUGAAUCGGCCUUAGAACGCUUCAAAUCUAGCCACAAACAAUUGGAUACAAUCAACACAACCUAUAGAAAUCAAUUUUAUAUGAAAAUGCUAAGUUCUUAAUCAAAAGUCAAAAAUACAACUCAAAAAGUCAAUCUUGGGCCCACGUCUCGAAAUCCGACAAAAUUAACAAAAUCCGAACACCCAUUCAACCACUAGUCCACCCAUACCAAAACUACUCAUAUCCGAUCACAACUCGACCUUCAAAUCCUCAAAUUAAAGCCUCGGAAGUGUCUAUAAUUUUUCACCAAUGUUAAACCGAAAACACUAACUAAAUGAUGAAAUCAAUGAUAUAUUCAUGUAAUUUAACAAAAUUUGAGUUAGAAUCAUUUACCCCAAUCACUCCCUUGAAAAUCUCUCCAAAAAACGCCUCAACCCGAGCUCCCAAAAUCAAAUUGUGAAAUAUAACUCAAACCCUCGUUUUUGAUAUUAAAGAGUCUGCCCAUAUGUCCUUCUUAGCGAUCGCCGGAAAUGCUUGGCGAUCGUGAAGAAAAAAUCCUAAGCUGCAAAAAAAUCACUUUACGCAAACGCGUAUAAGCCCACGCGAACACGACUCACAAAAUCCCAGACGUACGCUAUCACAGACAUCAUUACGCGAUCGCGAAUAACAAAUUCGUGUGAAUCCAAUCUCCUUUUUUCCUCUUCGCGAACGCGACUAGACCCACGCGUUCGCGAUUCACUGCCUCUCCAACCUACACGAUCACAGUCUCAAGCUCGCGAACGCAUAGAACAAAAUCCUAGCUUCCACAAUAACACUUCGCGAUCGCGACCCUCCUUUCGGGAUCACGUACACGAAAACCAGCACCAGCAAAAUUAGAAAUCUUUUAAGGUUCAAAAUGCACGGAACAUGAUCCGAAUUACACCCGAGUCCCCUGGGACCUCAAUCAAACAUACCAUCCAGUCCUAAAAUAUCAUACAAAUUCGCUCAAAGCAUCAAAUCACAUCAAACAACACUAAAACCACCUAACACACAUCGAUCCAAGCCUAAUGAACUUAUGAACAUCUAACUUCUAUAUUCGAUGCCGAAACCUAUCAAAUCAACUCACACAAGUCAUAAUUGACUCAACGGACUUAUUCCGUCUUCUAGAACCAAAAUCUGAUUCUGGUAACCACAAAGUCAACUCUCGGUCAAACUUCUCAACUCUCCAACCUUCUAAUUUUUCAGCUUUCGCCAUUUCAAGCCAAAAUCACCUACGGACCUCCAAGUCACUAUCCGGACACACUCCUAAGUCAAAAAGCCCCCCACCGAGCUAUUAGAACCUUCAAAACUCCAUUUCGGAGCCAUUUACACAUAAGUCAACAUGCGGUCAACUUUUUCAACUUAGGCUUCUAACCUUGGGACUAAGUGUCCCGAUUCAUUCCGAAACAACACCGUAACCAAACAAACUACCCCGACAAGUUACAUAACAAUAAUUGAGCAUAUAAUAAUCAGUAAAUGGGGGAACGGAGAUACAACACUCAAAAAUACCGGCCGGGUAGUUACAUCCUUCCCCUCUUAAACAAACGUUUGUCCUAGAACGGGUCUAGAAUAAUACCUGGAGUCUAAAUAAGAAUGGAUAUCUGCUAUGCAUCCCCCGCUCGGUCUCCCAAGUAGCCUCCUCGACUGGCUGACCUCUCCACUGCACCUUCACAGAAACUAUGUUCUUUGACUUUAACUUUCGAACCUACCGAUCCAAAAUGGCCACCGGCUCUACAUCAUAAGUCAAAUCACCAUUCAACUGAUCCUUGCUAAAGUCCAAAACAUAAGACGGAUCAUCGACAUACUUUCGGAGUAUGGAUACUUGAAACACUGGAUGAACACUCAAUAGAUUAGGCGGCAAUGCAAGCCUGUAAGACACCUCCCCAAUCCUCUCAAGCAUCUCAAACGUGCCGAUAUACCGAGGGGUCAACUUGCCCUUCUUCCCGAACCUCAUAACACCUUUCAUGGGUGAAAAUAUGAGCAGUACCUUCUCUCCUACCAUGUAAGCAACAUCAUGAACCUUCCCAUCAGCUAGCUCUUCUGUCUAGACUGCGCCAUGCGAAGCCGAUCCUGAAUCAACUUAACCUUGUCCAAAGCAUCCUGAACCAAGUCAGUACCCAAUAGCCUAGCCUCACCCGGCUCAAACCAACCCAGCGGAAACCCAUACCGUCUCCCAUACAAAGCCUCAUAAGGAGCCAUCUGAAUGCUCGAUUGGUAAGUGUUGUUGUAGGCAAACUCUGCAAACAGCAGAAACUGAUCCCAAGAACCACCGAAAUCUAUGACACAAGCGCGUAGCAUAUCCUCCAAUAUCAGAAUAGUGCGCUCGGGCUGUCCUUCUGUCUGACGGUGAAAUGUUGUAUUCAACUCAACUCGUGUGCCUAACUCUCGCUGCAUUGCUCUCCAAAACUGCAAUGUAAACUGCGUGCCCGAUCGAAAAUGAUGGACACCGGCACACCGUGAAGGCAAAAAAUCUCGCAAAUGUAGAUCUCAGCCAAUCGCUCCGAAGAAUAAGUAGUCCCAACUAGAAUGAAAUGAGCGGACUUGGUCAACUAAUCCACAAUCAUCCAAAUAGCAUCAAACUUCUUCGAUGUCCGUGGGAGCCCAACUACGAAGUCUAUGGUGAUACUCUCCCAUUUCCACUCCGGAAUCUCAACCCUCUGAAACAAUCUGUCUGGUCUCUGAUGCUCGUACUUCACCUGCUGAUAAUUUAGGAACCGAGCUACAAAUCACACUUUAUCUUUCUUCAUCCUCCUCCAGCAAUAGUGCUACCGCGAACUAUGGGCCUCCUCAAGAAUCAACUCAUGUAGCCCAUCCACAUUGGGCACACAAAUCCAACCAUGCAUCCGCAAUAUCCCAUCAUCCAUAAUAGUAACCUCAUUGGAAUCACCGUGCUGAACUGUGUCCUCGAGGACAAGAUAAUGGGGAUCAUCAUAUUGAUGCUCCCCGAUGCGAUAAUAUAAGCAAGAUCGAGAAACCACACAAGCUAGAACUCGACUAGGCUCCGAAAUAUCUAAUCUCACGAAUUGAUUGGCCAAGGCGUGAAUAUCUGCUGCAAGCGGUCUCUUACCUAGCAGAAUAAAUGCAAGGCGACCCAUACUCACCGCCUUUCUACUCAAGUCAUCGGCCACUACAUUGGCCUUCCUGGGAUGAUACAGAAUGGUAAUAUCAUAGUCCUUUUGUAGCUCCAACCAUCUCUACUGCCUCAAAUUUAGAUCCUUCCGUUUGAAUAAGUAUUGGAGACUCCGAUGAUCCAUAAAUACCUCACAAGACACACCGUAGAGAUACUGCCUCCAAAUCUUCAAUGCAUGAACGAUGGUUGCCAACUCCAAAUCAUGAAUGGGGUAGUUUUUCUCGUGGGGCUUCAAUUGGCUUGAAGCAUAAGCAAUCACUCUACCUCAAUACCAAUUCGAGAAGCAUCACAAUACACGGUAUAAGAGCCUGACACUGAAGGCAAAACUAGAACCCGAGCUGUGGUCAAGGUAGUCUUGAGCUUCUGAAAGAUCUCCUCACACUCAUCCGACCACCUGAAUGGAGCACCCUUCUGGGUCAACCUGGUCAAAGGCGCUACAAUGGACGAGAAACCCUCCACGAGGCGAUGAUAAUAUCCAGUCAAGCGGAGAAAACUUAAAAUCUCAGUAGCUAAAGACGGUCUAGGCCAACUCUGAACUGCCUCUAUCUUCUUUGGAUUCACCUUAAUCCCCUCACUGGACACUACGUGCCCCAAAAAAUGCCACCGAACUGAGCAAAAACUCACACUUGGAGAACUUGGCAUAAAACUUCUCAUCCCUCAACCUCUGUAGUACAAUCCUCAAAUGUUGUGUAUGCUCCUCCUGGCUACGUUAGUACACCAGGAAUCAUCAAUAAAUACUAUGACAAACGAAUCAAGACAUGGCGGGAAUACACUGCUCAUUAGAUGCAUGAAUGCUGAUGUGGCGUUGGUCAGCCCAAAAGAUAUCACAAGGAACUCAUAAUGACCAUAACAGGUCCUGAAUGCCGCCUUCAGAAUAUCCAAUUCCCGAAUCUUUAAAUGGUUAUACCCAGAUCUCUGAUCAAUCUUAGAGAACACAUUCACUCCUUGAAGCUGUUCAAGUAGAUUAUCAAUGCGCGGCAAAGGAUACUUGUUCUUGAUUGUAACUUUGUUUAACUGCCUAUAGUCAAUAUACAUCAGCAUAGUACUACCAUUCUUCUUCACAAACAUAAUUGGUGCACUCCAAAGCGACACACUAGGCCUAAUAAACCCCUUAUCAAGAAACUCCUGAAACUACUAGUUUAACUCCUUUAACUCUGCUGGUGCCAUACGAUACGGAGGAAUAGAAAUGGGUUGAGUGCCCGGCACCAAGUCAAUACCAAAAUCAAUAUCCAUGUCGGGUGACAUGCCCGGCAGGUCUGCAGAAAACAUAUCUGAAAAGUCUCGCUCUACCGGAACAGAAUCAAUAGUAGGAGUAUCAGCACCAACAUCUCUGACAAAGGCCAAAUAUGACAAAAACCCCUUCCUAACCAUUAGUUGGGCCUUCAAAUAUAAAAGCAUCUUGCCGGGAACAUAAUCUAGAGAACCUUUCCACUCGAUCCUUGGCAACCCCGCCAUCGCCAACGUCACAGUCUUGGAGACAACCAAUCCAUACCCAAGAUCAUGCCAAAAUCAACCAUACUAAGUAAUAAAAGAUCAACUCUAGUCUCCAACCCUCCAAUGAUCACCACACACGACCAAUAAACAAGGUCCACAACAAUAUUAUCGCCCACCAGCGUAGAUACAUGAAUAGGUGAAACUAAGGACUCACGAGGCAUAUCCAAAUAACGAGUAAAAUAGAAUUUUACAUAGGAAUAAGUAGAACCAGGGUCAAAUAAUGUGGAAGAAUCUCUUUGGCUCAUUGAAAUAAUAAAACCAGCACCAACAAAAUCAGAAAUAUUUUAAGGUUCAAAAUGCGCCGAACAUGAUCCGAAUCACACUCGAGGUCCCUGGGAGCUCAACCAAACAAAGCAACCAGUCCUAAAACAUCAUACGUACUCGAUCAAAGAGUCAAAUCAUAUCAAACAACGCUAAAACCAUGAAUCGCGCAUCGAUUCAAGCCUAAUGAACUUAUGAACUUCUAAUUUCUACAUUCGAUGCCGAAACCUAUCAAAUCAACUCAGAUUGACCUCAAAUUUUGCACACAAGUCAUAAAUGAUUCAACAGGCCUAUUUUGACUUUCGAAACCAAAAUUCGAGUCCGGUAACCACAAAAUGAACUCUCGGUCAAACCUUCUAACUUACACAUAAGUCAUUUCAAGCCUCGAACCUUCAAUUUUUAAACUUUCUCCAUUUCAAGCCAAAAUUACCUACGGACCACCAAAUCAUUAUUCGGACACACUCCUAAGUCCAAAAUUACCAUACGGAGCUAUAAAGACCCUCAAAACUCUAUUCUGGAGCCAUUUACACAUAAGUCAAUAUCCGAUCAACUGUUUCAACUUAGGCUUCAAACCUUGGGACUAAGUGUCCCAAUUCAUUCCGAAUUAUCCCAAGAACUAAACCAACUACCCCGACAAGUCACAUAUCAAUAAUUGAGCACAUAAUAAGUAUUAAACCGGGAAACGGAGCUACAACACUAAAAAUGACCGGCCAAGUCAUUACAAUCUGCGACCGCACAUAAAAUCUACGGCCACACCUAAAAAUGUGCGUACCACACUUUGGGUUCUGCGAAUAUCCGCCCAGGUGAUAGAGUGUGGACCACACUCUCUUCUUUCCCCCUCUCAAAUAGUUGGUAUAAAUAGAAUAAUAGACUCCAUUUUACACUUUUUCCUCUUUGAGCAAAACACUGUUACUCUGUUGAUUUUCUUGGAGAUAUUUACUAUCCUCACACACAACCACCUUGAUUUUACUACCAUUGCACUCAAUCUAUCUGGUAUGCUUAAAUUUCAUGUUAAAUUAUUUGUGUUAGUUUAAUUUUUAGAUUUUAAGUUCUUUUUAGGCCAUAUGUUAUAAGAGUUCUAUUAUGUGUCUAUAUGGGGUAGAUCCGAAUUGGGUAAACUUAAUACAUGCUAUAAUGGGAUUGGCAUAGUGAAAUUUCAUAUUUUUACAAUGUUACCAAACCUAAUUGUGCGAGAAAUUGAAAUAUCUAAGUAGGAAAAAGUUGUCACUUGUUAAUUUUUAAAAUCUACGGCCGCACUUGAAUUUGUGUGGUCAGCAGAUGAGGAAUUUUGGCAACUCCGUGGAACUGGGAUCUGCAUCCACAAAGUAAAAUGCACGGACCGAAGAUUUUCCUUUGUGGCCGCAGAUCAGCCAAUUCUCUGUCAUCAAAGAGUCUGUAAUUUUGAGAGUCAGAAGUGCGGCCAUUAGUUAAAAUGUACGGACUGCACUUCCCUUCGGCGACCGCAUAACAGAAUCCUGCGGAUCGCAACUACCAUCUGCGGUCGCACAUAAAAAAUGUGUGGCCCGCAGAUUCUUUUUCCUGCAGGCAUAUGUUAUGUUCAUAACCCCAUUAUGUCCAAUUGUUUCUCCUUUACAUACAUAAGUCUUGAAUGUGUUGAACAAUGAAUUGUAACUGACAAUCUUCUUUGCUUUGAUACGGACAAUGGUUCGAUGAAGAGGACGAGGCAACACUUCAAAUGGAAGAGGUGAAACUUCCCGGGGUCAAGAUAAAGGUACCUUGCCCUUGGCCAGCCGAAGACUAUUAGAAAGAAAACCACAACCGGUAGGAGGAGAGGUGUAGACCUCGUCGAGUCUAGUUCCUAUGUCCCGUCUAGGAAGAUGUCAGAAGGCAACUCAGCCUCUGUUCAUGAGGAGAAGGCAACUACACAGUCGAGGCCACAUGUUAGAUACUAGCUCAAGGAUGAGUGUUCAACAUCUCACAGCACCUCCGAGGGGUCAGAGAGUGCUAGCAAGGCUUCUGAGCCAUCAUCUACACCAGUCCCAGAGGCAUAGAUUAUACAUGAUAUUCCCGAUGAUGGUAGAUGGGGAGAUGGUACAGCUACAACUAUGGAGAUAUCAAAUAAGAAUGAGGUAUUGGAGGAUAGAUUUGUCAGCUUGGCUGCCUUCACUAGUUUUCAUACAUUGGAGCACUUUGAGUUUUGAGGCAAAGGAGUGGCAAACCUUUGUCUACAGUAUAUUGGACCCAAGCCAGAAUGAGACUCAUCUUCCUAUUCCUCGGGAAGUGCUUGUGGCUUCCAUCAUGGCUGGGUACCCAAUUAAUGUAGGUGCCAUGAUGUCGAUCAACAUUUCAUUAAUAGCACGGCAGGAUGGCACGACCUACCCUUAUCACAACACUAUCACAGAGUACCUCACUGAUGCAAAGGUAGAGCCGAGAGAUUUUGACACCAAGGUAAAGUCGAAGAAGCCAUUUGACUGGUAUUCACUGAUGGAUGCGAGCAACCCAAAGAAGAAAGUCCAACCUUCUACCACCACAGGCCAGUCUGAUGAGCCACUAGUAGUAGUUACUGAGACAGCUGAUCUUCCAUCCACCUCUGCUGAGCCUUCUUCCAGUGUCGCUGCUAUACCUCCGCCAUCAUCCUCAGCUCCUACCACAGCCCCUAGGGAAGCUCUGAAGCCAGUGCCCAUGCCCACAACCCCAUUAUCUGUGCUAUGACUUUCCCAGACAUUGGUGAGUCUGACUUAUCUAGUAUUGUUGCAAUGUAGUCUGCUACACAUGCACCACAUGCCCCUUCUAACAUUGAUGAGAUGCUAAAGAAGAUUCUGGAGAACCAGAAGACGAUCAUGGACACCUUGGUAAAGCACGAUUCAGUUAUUGAGGAGAUGGGAAAGGAAGUGAAGAAGAUGAGGAAGUUCCACGCAAGCAAGAAAUUAAUAGACAAGCUCAAGAAAGAGGUGACUAGACUUGCUAUAGCUGGGGGAUCUUCCUUUUGAAAUGCUACUUGACCCGUACCAGUCCAUCCCAUAGCCAUCAGUACCAUCUGCACCGCUAGCGCCAGAUGGCCACUCUAAGGAGCCAAACCUUGCAGCCGACACUGCCGACUCAGUGCAUGCGAUGUUUGCCACUCCCGCCAUGCCUAGAUGUGAUGAUGAUGAGAAUCAGUUGGCUGACCCUGAGGGAGAUGAUGUUUCUAGGGACACUGAGAUGUCUAAGGAUCCUUAGGGAGUUUUUCUUCACCCUCUCUCCUUUCACUCUUAUUUUGCUAAGCAUUGGGAACAAUGCUUACUUUUAUUCGGGAGAGGGGGGGUGGAGUUUAUUUGAUAUAUUACCACACUUUGUAUACAUUUGGUCUGCAAUAAUUUGAUGAUUCUCUCUCCUUUCUUAUUUGUAUUUACCUGUCUUUAAUAGUUACUGUUCAUUAGCUUCUUUAUUGUUUCCAUUUUAGUUUUUUUUCGGUUAAGUAGCUUCUUUUUUAUGCUUUCGUAGAUAAUAAGCCUUUGGUUUUCUUAACGCCAUGGUUCUUUCCAAGGUAGUUAUUUGUGUGAACCGGGUGACUUGUCCCGACGAUGGUUAUCGUGACAACCUUCUUAAGGAAAUGAGUAUAUUUUUGUGUUUAUGUAAUAAUAGUGGUAGUAAUAAAUAAAAAGACCUAAUCAAGUCAUUCUUGAAGAGUUGGUACCAACACACUUAACCAUGUGCUUAUGAUUAGAGAUAAGGUUUUUGAAAAAAAUAGCUCUAGUUAGUGACUUUGUGACUCUUGAGUUGACUUUGGUGAUCAUCGUGUGGUUUAUUAGACCAUAGUGAUCUUUAAACUUGAAUGUGGUCGUUGUAGGCUCUCGAAUUUAUCCUCUUUUACAAUCUAGUUGCGUGAGGGGUGAGAUAAAUUAUUGCUAGUCCAAGUAUCCGUGUGGAUGGUCUAAAACUUGCCCCGAAUGUGUUUCAAGGCGAAAUCUUGUGUAUUUAUACCCUAUAAGAACGGGUGAUGGACGAAACUACUCUUGGCAAGCCGAAGUGGAAAAAUUGGACUAUCAUAAUGGUGUGCUGCGCUUGCCUCUGCACUGCCUCGCCGCGCCAUGCGACACCCCAUGCAGCGCGGUAGUGCAAUUUUCUUUAUUCUAGAAUGUUUUUACAUUUUUAACUUUUAGACUUAGUUCUUGAACUCCGAACACAAUUCCGAUUUAAUUCUUUGGGUUUCUACUCAGAUUUCAAAGCUCCAAAUCAUCCAUUUUAGCUCUAAAAUUGCUUCUGAACUUAGAAUCACAUCCUACACAACAAAAUUCACAUAAUAAGUAUAAACACUUACAUUGAGUACGAAAUAUAGUUAAAAAUAUGAGUUUCUAGCCUACUAUUAACACCCCACACUUAGACUAUUGCCCGUCCUUAAGCAAUACAAACUACACUUAGCAGAAACAACUACCUUUCCAAACAGCUCUCUUAACUCGUCACGCCAAGAAUAUUUAAAUCGAGCACCAUAUCAUCAUAUCCUAGACUCAAGACUAGCCUCAAAAAUAUUAAUUAUUUUUAAAACUAUCUCACUUACUCUAAUAAAGAAGCCAAAGACAUCACCUUUUCCUCACAAGUCAUGUGUUUGUCAUAACAAACAGUAGAGAGUAGUCUCAUACACAUAAAAUUCAAGAACAAAUAGGGUCUCUAAAUAGAAAGAAUUUACUCACACUAAAAAAUUAAAUUUAUGUGCCAUAACAGAUGUACUAUAGGAUUACCCAUGAUGUAAUACUCUACUAAUUCGAGCUCACUUAGUCAAGGAUCAAGUAGGACUUAAUUUUUGUUAUAAUGUAGGUUGCGGGGACAACUAGGAUACAAUUUGGAUAAAAGUGACUACACCUCCCUAAGCAUUUUUAAUAUAUACAACUUUAAAAUUCAAACUCCAUAUUUGUGUUGAAUAAAACAUUUCCUACCUUGAAAGUACUAACAUCAAGUUCUCAUUUUAUUAAAGCACAAAAUAUAUAUGAGAGUUACCACUAAGAAGGAAUGAUUUUUUUCACAAAACAUAUAAAAACCCAAAAUUUCUUUUUCUUUUCCACUUUUAUUUUUCUUUCUGACUUCCUAUUUUUUAUAUGGUUUUUUUUUCUUUUGGAUUCCCUACAAGUGACUAACACAAUUAUUUUAAAAUAUUGCACCUUUUUUUUUUUUAUAGUUCCACUUAAAACCCAAUCGGAUCUCCACUUAGCUUUUAACAAGCUCAUAAUAAUUUCAAGUGCUCAAGAGAGGAAAAAUGGUUCAAACAGAUGGUCAAUUCAAAUAAAGAUGUCAGAAUUAUAGUGUGGUUGCCAAAGAAAUAGGAUUAUAGGCUCACCAGGGCUAACAGAGAUACACAAUAUUUGGUGGAUAAACAUACAUAUAUCUUGUUCAACAAGAAAAUACUUCUAUCAAAUCCUAAACUGAACAAGACUAUAAUUUUGCUUUGCACACACUGAGAGAAAGUUCUAGAAAUCGAAUGACAUGCACAAAAUAUCAACAAAUAUCUCACACAGACACAUUGGCACACAACUCACUUAGGACGCAUCUAUUCCGACUCUCUAGUCAAAGUAGUUAGCAAAAUCUAUCAUUUUAAGGUACUUAAACACGAGUCAAAAAGUGAGCCUAGAUAUCACAACUAAGUCACUCACUGCUCUAAAGGCACAACAAAGUCAAGAAAAUUGCCUCUAAUUAUCACUACCGUAUACAAUUCUUUAUUCCUACUAAAAGAAAACUAACUACAUAUGGUUCAAGCAAAAAUUCUUAAAAAAGAACUGUGAUACAAUGAAAACCCAAGAGAAAGUUAUUACACUGCCUAAAAACAUAAACCAAAUUGAAAGACAUAUUUUUGGAAUUUCAAAUUCCAUUUUUUGAAUUUUUUUUACUUUAAUCCCUGAAGCUAAUGGUCGAGGAAAUCCAUUAUUGGGUAAAGUUAUAUCAAACUGCUACAUGAAUUACUAGUUAUUACAGGCCAGGCAGAAUUCAGAGUUGAGAUUAUGGGCCAUAAUGUCUAAUAAAGAAUGAAACAAAUCAAUUAAAGCCAAAUGGAAAAGAGAAACAAAGAAAAUAAGAGCACCCCACCCCACACUUAAGAAAUUGCAUUGUCCCUAAUGCAAAGCAAUAAAACAAUGGUGAUAAAAUGAUUCCGUGAAGCACUAGGCCUAAUCAUCAGGACCCUUAAAGGUGUGAAGGUACUCCUCAUCAUUAGAAGGCUCGGAGUUAACAUCCUCAUCCGGUGGCAGUCCACCUCCCCCGGCCAUACCUAACCACUGCUAUGAGAUAGCAGAAAAGGGGAGGUCAAGUUGUAGCUCAACCAAGUCAACCUCUCCACUUUUAGCUGAGUGCGCAUAUCAACAAACAUCAAUUGGAGUGUCUCCCCGACUCGAAUCAUCCACUGAUCCAUAGUAUCCACCGCCAUAGGAUGAUUAAUCACUAAAGUAAUAACAAACAACUUGAUAGGAUGCGGGUCCGGAGUCACCCGAUCAUAGUGAAAAUCCUCUGGCACAUGGUGCAUCCUCAGUAGCCGAGUGAUCAUGCUCGGAUAAAGCAAUCGUUAUGCCCUAAAAGGUCGUAUCCUAGCCAUAUGCUCAAGCAUGAUCUUACCCAUCUAAAACUCCAUCCUAGUUAAGAAGGCAUAAAUUGAACAAGCCUUCACCCUAGACACAUCAGUCUCACUGGUAGUAGGCAUGAUUAGCUACAAAAUUUACCCUAUAAAGAUGAUGCUUAAUAUCCUAACAAGCUGGUCUCGGAGAAACCUCUGGAAUGUUUUAUGGGAACACUGAGUGGAUCCCAUCACCAUGUUGAUUGCAUGCGAAGAAAAGGGAAUCGUCUUAGCCCUUACCUCUACCUCAUACACAACAUCCACAUUCACCUCCGUCUACUAGUUGGCGUAAAAUUCUCUAACCAUAUUGACAUUCACAUCAUCUCCGGGACGGAACAAACACUCCAAGCCCAUAGCCCUUAUAUUUAGAUAUAGCACUAAAUAUUUAAGAGCUAAAUCAAUGGUGAGCAUGUACAAGACCACCCUAAUGCCAAUUGACACUCAGGGACCACGUCCGCCUCAUGAUCAAUUUUCUCUAUCUCCACCUCCACUAGAGCUUCGUGUUCGUCUUGCCUGCUCCCUCUACAACUACUGGAGGCUACUCCGGAGGAUCUAAUGUUAGCACGCUUUCUUUCCCAGCAAGAUAUUGUACAUGCAUAAGACGAACACUAUUAGCCACAACACAUAGAAUAAAAUACAAAACCAAUGGGGUUAACAACCCACACUUAUGUAUUUGGCAUGUUCAUAGGCAACAAUGUAUAUAGGGGACUUAGACUACCCAUAUAUCCAACAAGCAAGUCAUCACCAAACCAUCAAACCUUCCUCAAUUCUAGUAUAGCAACACCACCAGUUACAAAAAAGAAAAUCAAGGUGCUAUACUAACGGCUGAACUAAAAAAUAUAAAAUCAAGAAGUUAACUAAACUAGCUACUAAAAGCAAAAAGAAAAAAGUUAAACUCCAAACACUACACAAGUAUAUGGCAUGAACCGAAUGAGUCAAAUAGAAUUAGAAUCACAACAGCAUGAGGGGGCCAACACUCGAAAUUGUAAGUUUUAGGACAUGAUUGUCCACCCUACACGUCGAAUCACACACCAUCUAUACACAAAGCAAGAAACAUCAAUAACUUAUUUCAAAAGCCAAAAUAAUAUCAUUGAGGCAAAAACAUGUAGCGUGCACUAUGUCAAGGCCAAAUUUGAAGCUCAAUUUUCACUUGAAUCGCAUCAUAUAGCACACACCACCAAAAUUUAUAAAAAGAAUUUCAAACACCGCUCACAUUAACAAAAAAUCAUCCAUAAGCACAACAGCUAAUCAAAUCCCACAAUAAUGAAGUAUAAUUUCGGCCAAAUUAAGAGAAACAUACAAAAAAUCUACAAAAUAAAACCUUCAUAGGGUUUUGAUGAACUACACUAAAUUAAACUAAGUACACAAACAGAUUCCAAGAUAGAGUGGAGCGAUGAAAGAAGAAAACUUACCUUGAAGCUUGAGGGAGAUGGGGGGAUGGAGUCGACAAAGAAUUAAGGAGGGCUGGAGAAAGCUUUGGAAGUUAGAGUAGAAAGAGAGAAAUAGAGCUUGAGAGAAUGGGAGAAAGGGGUCAAGGUGAUUAAGACAGAUUGGGAAAAAAGGGUCUGGAAGGGGGUGGUUUCAAAACUAGGGAAAUAAACCUUUUUUAAAAAAUUAGGCUGAAAACUAUCCUACCGGGCUGUGGGGUUGAGGCUCCCCAUGUGCCGCGGUAGUGGGGAAG